ensembl:lncRNA
GAGCAUACAUGUGUUCAAAUUACUGGAGAUUUGUUACUCUGGUGCAAACUUGUUGUCUGCAGAGACUGUCUUUGACACUGCUUCUGGGUGUGACACGUGACUUCAGGCAAGGGGGAAGGCUAUCUAGCUGGACAUUUGGAAUUACGCUGUAGCAGAGGAGAACAUUACACCAGCCUCUUGAGUGCUAUAUGCCUAUUCAUGGACAAACUAACGCUUUUUUAAUGAGAGUUUCUGAGGUUGCUAUCCAAACUACAUUCCUUAUCCCAGAUCUCAUCCUUAGCACAACUCCCAAAGGUAUUUGGGAGUUUGGAUGCAGACAUAUAUGUGAAUCCAGGGCUCGAUCAGGUCUCACUGAAGUCAAUAACAAUAUAGUUGUUGCUGAAGAGAUAUCCAUGAGGCUCAAAGGAGAAGUAAAAGCCAUCCAAGAAAAAGCGAGAGAUGAAUUACAGGUUCUUCUUUUCAUCAAAACACACCUUACAUUUCUCUCUCUCUCUCCCCCUUUUAAAACAGAAAAUCAACUCUUUUAACUUUAUAGCUACUUUAAAAUAACCGAGAAAAUAUUUAAAUUUGAAGAAAUACUGAAGAGUUCUGGAUGGACGCCCAAAAAACGUCAAGUGACCUUCCAGAUAUAGGACUGCAUUUUGGAAUUUACCAACUCCGGUGAAGAAUUUUUGGUGAUGGCAAACUGCUGAAGGGCAGUAAAACAAGCACCGGGAAUCCGAGCAACGAACCUUUGUUUGCAUGUCUCCCUGUUUCCGGAAAAAAAAAAAAAAAAAAAAUGGGGAAAGAAAAAGAAAAAGAAAAAGAAAAAAAAAAGAAGAAUAAAGAACACCUGCAAACCUUCGGUGCGUUAAAUAUUUCAUAAGCAUAACCUCAGGGCGAUCUAAUUACAGAUCGGGCAUAUGUUAAUGCGUAAUUUACCCGGGAAUAUUAAUUUGCGAAGCGCUCGUGGUGUGAGUUAACCCGUUCUUUACAGAAGCGCGUUGGACUCCGAGAGCAGCCUCCAACGCUCUCCCUCUGAGCUGCUCUCUGCGCAGCGCAGCAUCGCUGACCCACUCAGCGGUGGGGUGCGCGCAUCACUGCGUGCGUCCCGCGGAGGGCUGCGGUGCUGAUAGCGGCUGGGAGGAGGCGGGGAAGCCGCAUCCCUCCGCGCAUCCCGCAGCCAGAGAGCACCUGCUCCGGGCACCCGUCUCCGGAAGGCAUAAGGAAGAGGAAACAGCGGGGAUUUCUGUGCUGUCCCCUCUGCCUGAGGGCAGCGUCAGCGUGGAAACAGCCGAUGACAAAGUGCACCCGGACAUCUGCCCUUUGCGGUGUCCCCGUCGGGCGCGGGGAUGGGGAAAGAAGGAGAGGGGACCGAGCGCGUGGGUGCGCGUGUCGGUCAUCG